UCCUUGAAAAUAACAAAAUCCAUACCUAUAUGUAGGGAAAAAAACUUAUCCCAAAUAACAUGGAAUUGGGAUCUACCUUUAUCAAAUCCAACUAAGACUACGAAAAAACUAUCCCAAAUUACAUGGGAUUAGGAUCUACUAUUAUGGAAAUAAUAAAUAAAAUCCUACUAGGACUAGGAAAGCAUAUAAAAAUAAUAUAAAAAAUUCUCCCUUACGAAAAUAAGGGAAAGCUUCCAAAUUUACUCACAACCUAUAUGGGCCCAAUCUUCUUCCUUUUGGGCUUAGACUUGAAUCAUGAAAUAUGUGUAGCCCUUUGCCCAUUCCUCUCCAUAAUUCUUGGAAUCAUUCUUGGGCUCUUCUUUCAUCAUAAAUAUCUCCUUGAUUCAUAUUAAAGCCCAUCAAUCUUAAUGCAAGUGGGUCAGCCUGGAUGCUAUCGUAGUACCUUGGGACAAAGCAGGAAGAGAAAGCAUUAAUUUCCUCAAACAUUGAGAUACAAAGCCUACACAUAGGAGAAUCUACCACAUUAAUCUAGUAUAGCAAACUAGAAGUUGGUGUCCUUCCAUGAUUCAAGAGCCACAAAAAAUAUUUUAUUUUAGGUGGCACAUGAAGCUUUCAAAUCCAAGUAAAGUUAACACUUGGUUGAUCCUGGGUAAUGAAAUUGGUAUUGAGGCCAGUAUCAAUUGAAGGUUGAAAAGAUGUGGUGCACAAUUUGAUCGAAAAGAGACCCAUAUUAGUCAAUCCCCAGGUGAUGUGAUCAAACGAGUUUGAAAACCUUGAAAAGUAAACUCGUUGUAUUAAGGAUAAAGCCAGGUGAGGUGGUAGAACUGAUAAUCUAGAAAAGUUCCAUGUUCUGGCACUUCUAAAGUUAGCCACAUGAUAAACCUGUUCUUAACUUUGAAGUGGGCCUUGAACUAGGGAGCACAUAGGCAGAUUUGGUUUGACCCAAGCGUCCUUGAAAAAAUUAAUGAAUUCUCAAUUGGUGGGCUGCCAGCGGAGCCCUACCUGACAAUAUUUUCAUCCAAGUUUAUGAGUUUUCCAAGUUCUUGAUGUCGUCGAGAUAGCAGGAGUUCGGCGAUUAUGAUGCUAGUAUUUUUGUUUCAAAAGGGUAGCCUAGGGAGAGCUAGAUUGGAAACCUCUCCAAGCCGUGAAGACUAGCAAUGCUUUGUUUUUUGUUUGAAAGUCUUGAAUUCCCAACCCCCCCAUAUCCUUAGGUUUUGUUAGAGUUGACCAUUUAAUGAGAUGAUUUUUUUUAUUCGCUGUUGAACCCCAAAAGAAGUUUCGCUCACAACAUUCCAAACAUUUAAUUAUAUAGCUAGAAAGCUUGAUUAACUGAAUAAGAUAGUUAGGAAGACUAUUGAGGGUCAGUUGGAUUAAGAUAGCCCUACCCGCAGAUGAAAGAAAAUUGGAUUUCCUGCUUCGAUGCGCGACUUAAAAUUAUCAAGAAGGAAUUGAUAGUCAAAGUUGACUAAUUUGGACUAGGAGAUUGGAAAGCCCAAGUAUUUUCCAAAUGAUAAUCCUUCUAAGAUAUUCAAGUUGGUACAGAUUAGAGUCAUAUUAUCAAGUAUUGUCUGAGAAAAGAUUCUUGAUUUUGAGUAGUUGAUUCUUUGUCCCAAAACUACUCCAAAUUGGCUCAUUAUAGUUUGAAUGGUUGCCAUAGUAUUGUCAUUUAAAUCCCUACACAAGAUAAUGCCAUCUGCAGAGAGUAGGUAGGAGAGCUGAAUUCCACUGGAGAAUAGUAAUGAGGUUUCAAAGUAUGUGAUCAAUCAUAUCAAUUCUAUAAAAAAGUUUUUUCAUACAUAAGAUCAAAAUGUAUGGCGACAAAGGAUCACCUUGACGAAUACCCUAGUAGAAGCGAAAGAUUAAGUAGCACUUCCAUUUAGAAGGAUGGAUAUAGAAGGGGUGCAAAUAUAAGAUAUUAUGAGUCUAAUCAUUUUAACAUGAAAAUUAUAGAAUAAAAGUGUGUCGUGUAUAAAAGGCCAUUCAAGGCGAUCAAAAGCUUUUUCCAAAUCAACUUUAGGUAUCAUGUACUUUUUUUGACCUUUAGUUUUUUUUAAAAGUACAAUAGUUCCUGAACCACCAGUGCAUUAUUAGAAACCCUCCUCACUACCAAAAAACUAGAUUGACUUGGGCCAAUGAGAACUUGUUGGAGUGGCUUGAUUCUAUUGACCAAAAUUUUUGUAUUUACCUUAUAAAUGGUAUUACAAAGACUAAUUGGCCUAAAUUAAGAAAUUGUUGCUACAGUACUAAACUUAGGGACCAAAAAGAUAUAGGUUUGAUUGAUGCAUUCAGGGAUGGUUCAUUGAUUAAAAAUAGUAGAGCAAAAUUUCUCUAGAGAAUUUCCCACAAUUGACCAGUAUUUUUGGAAAAAGAAAGGAUGUAAACCAUUUGGCCCCGAAGCCCUAAAAGGUUUAAAUGAAUUGAUGGCUCUAACAAUCUCGUUCAAACUUACAGAAAGCUCUACUAGGGUAUGUGCAGUUGAUGUGAUAAAUCCGGAUGAAGCGCAAGGGCAGUGCUUUGAACAAACAACUAGAACAAACGAGUAGAGGUCAUGGAAGAAACUUAGGAUAUGGUUUUCAAGAUUUUGUCUACCUUCAACCUAGUUUCUUACCUCGUCUCUAGUGCAACAAUUUGAUUACUAUGCCUUCGAUUGAGGAUGGACAAAUGAAGUAACUUUGUAUUUGUAUCCCCUUCAUUAAUCCAAGACACUCUAGACUUUAUUUUCCAAAAUUCAUUUUCAAGGAUAAGCAAAUCCUUGUAUUCCUUUGUAAGCUCCAACUCAAGAUUUUGCAAGAAUGAGCUUGUAAGGUAGAAUAAGAAGACGUUUCGUAUGGAAAAUAUUCCCAAAGAUACUUUUAUUCCAGAUUGAGAUUUCAUUCUUAAAUUGAGCAAUUGAAGGAAUCAGUAUAUUGUUCGAAGCAUUUCAAGCAUGACAGAUAACAAAAAGGAAUUGGGGGUGGGAAUUCCACAUUGAUUCAAUCCUACAAAGCUUGUUUUGAACUAAGUGUGGGAGGGACAACUAAAGCAAUAGAGGACAAUGGUCUGAGUACAGAUGAGAGAGGUGUUUAACUAAAGACUCAGGAAAUGAUUCUAACCAAGAAGCAUUGCUAUAAUACCCGUCUAAACAUUCUAAUAUCAUAUGUUUAAGACACCUAAGGUUCGUCCAGGUGAACUUUCUACCGCUAAACCCUAAGUCUAUCAUUCCAUAAUAAUUAAGGCAUUAUAUAAAUCUAUCAGUCCUAGCAACAUGAAUGCCCUGGCCACUGAAAUUUUUACACGACCUAACAAUCUCAUUAAGGUCACCCCCUAAUAACCAAGAUCCAUUAUAACUAUCUAAUACUUUUUUAAGAUUUUUCCAGAGGUUGGCCCUACUAUUCAAAUUAUUACGGGCAUAAAUUAUCGAAAACAACUAUUUAACAGGUGAAGGCAUUACCUAAACCAUGCAGUGGAUUUCAUGGUGCGUAAGGGCAGUAUUAGAGAUAUUGAGCAAGUCAUCAUGCCAAAGUAAUGCCAUACCCUCAGCAUGUUCCUCCGCUGGGACAGUCAGGACAUUAGAGAAAUUAAACUCGUUGGGCAUUGACUAAUAAUUUAACUUUUACGUUUCAAGGAGAACAACUAGAACAGGUUUAUGAGUUUCUAUAAGUUCCUUAAAGGCUAGCCUAAAUCCUUAGAUAUGGAGCCCCUAUUCCAAAUUAUAAAAUUCAUUGGAUGGUGGAGUUGGUAUGGAGCAUUAGUAUUGCAUACAAGUUUAGAAUCCUUGCGAGAGGGGCUCAUUAUCACGACAUAUUUUCCCAUAUCUUAGUUCAGAGUGGGCCUCGCAUGAACCGAGCAUUUGAACAUAUUUUAGGGGUAAUUUACGUUUAGUUUUCUUGUAUGGUGCUCUUAUAGAAGGAAUACUCGUACCUGGCCCAAGAAAAAGGAAGUCAUUAUUGCCUCUUGCAUGUCCUCCACCAGUUCGAUGGAUGGACCCUGUUAAGAGUUUGGAGUAAUUGCUUGCUUCGCUGGUGGCUACGUCGAGACAAGCAUGUGCAUCUAAGAUGGCUCCAUAAAGGUUGUUGUAACAUGCUUCUGUAUCCAUGACACCACUUCCUCCUCUAGAGUUGGUUGUGGGUAGAAUGGGAAUCUGGG
rnacentral:lncRNA from 1 species